rnacentral:tRNA from 1 species
GAUGGCGUGGCGAAGCGGUUAACGCGGUGGUCUGCAAAAUCACUAUGCGCGGGUUCGAGUCCCGCCGUCAUCU